CUCUUAUCCAGAGAGGUGGAGGGAACUGGCCCGAUGAAACCCGGCAACCCAGGACGCUGCGGGGCGUCCGAAGGUGCCAACUCCACCGGCGGCCUCACGCCGCCGGAAGAUAAGAG
rnacentral:ncRNA from 24 species